rnacentral:tRNA from 3 species
GUCCCUAUCGUCUAGAGGCCUAGGACACAACCCUUUCACGGUUGGUACCGGGGUUCGAAUCCCCGUGGGGACGCCA